GACGAACGCUGGCGGCGUGCUUAACACAUGCAAGUCGAACGAUGAAGGAGAGCUUGCUCUCCGGAUUAGUGGCGAACGGGCGAGUAACACGUGACUAACCGGCCCCUUUCUCUGGGAUAACCUCCGAAAAGGGUUCCUAAAACCGGACACGACUUCUGACACCAUUUACGGAGUGGGAAGGUUUUUCGGAAAGGGAUGGAGUCGCGGCCGAUCAGCUUGUUGGUGAGGUAACGGCUCACCAAGGCGACGACGGGUAGCCGGCCUGAGAGGGCGACCGGCCACACUGGGACUGAGACACGGCCCAGACUCCUACGGGAGGCAGCAGUGGGGAAUAUUGCACAAUGGGCGAAAGCCUGAUGCAGCGACGCCGCGUGAGGGAUGAAGGUCUUCGGAUUGUAAACCUCUUUCAGUAGGGACGAAGCGAAAGUGACGGUACCUAAAGAAGAAGCACCGGCUAACUACGUGCCAGCAGCCGCCGUAA
rnacentral:rRNA from 1 species